rnacentral:tRNA from 1 species
GCGUCCGUAGCUCAGCCUGGAUAGAGCAAUGGGGUCCUAACCCGGAGGUCGAAGGUUCAAAUCCUUCCGGGCGCG